rnacentral:rRNA from 1 species
AGAAUCAACGCUGGCGGCGUGCCUAACACAUGCAAGUCGAACGAGAAAGUGGAGCAAUCCAUGAGUAAAGUGGCGCACGGGUGAGUAACACGUGACUAACCUACCCUUGAGUGGGGGAUAACCUAGGGAAACCUGGGCUAAUACCGCAUAAUACCUUCGGGUCAAAGGAGCAAUUCGCUUAAGGAGGGGGUCGCGGCCGAUUAGUUAGUUGGCGGGGUAAUGGCCCACCAAGACUGUGAUCGGUAUCCGGCCUGAGAGGGCGCACGGACACACUGGAACUGAAACACGGUCCAGACUCCUACGGGAGGCAGCAGUGGGGAAUUUUGCGCAAUGGGGGAAACCCUGGACGCAGCAACGCCGCGUGGAGGAUGAAGUCCCUUGGGACGUAAACUCCUUUCGAUCGGGACGAUUAUGACGGUACCGGAAGAAGAAGCCCCGGCUAACUUCGCGCCAGCAGCCGC